GGAGAUGUGGCUCAGUGGUAGAGUUCUUGCCUGGCAUGCAUAAGGCUCUGGGUUCAAUCUCUAGCACCACAA
rnacentral:tRNA from 1 species